rnacentral:rRNA from 1 species
GGAGUCCGAGUUGUAAUUUGUAGAAGAUGCUUUGGGUUGUGGGUUCGGCCUAAGUUCCUUGGAACAGGACGUCAUAGAGGGUGAGAAUCCCGUAUGUGGCCGAGGCCCGCGCCUAUGUAAAGCUCUUUCAACGAGUCGAGUUGUUUGGGAAUGCAGCUCAAAAUGGGUGGUAAAUUUCAUCUAAAGCUAAAUAUGGGCCAGAGACCGAUAGCGCACAAGUAGAGUGAUCGAAAGAUGAAAAGCACUUUGGAAAGAGAGUUAAACAGUACGUGAAAUUGUUGAAAGGGAAGCGCUUGCACCCAGACUUGGGCGCUGCUGAUCACCUUGCGGUCUCCGCGAGUGCACUCGACAGCGCACAGGCCAGCAUCGGUUCGGGUGGCUGGAUAAAGGCCGUAGGAACGUAGCUCCCUUCGGGGAGUGUUAUAGCCUACGGUGCCAUGCAGCCCAGCCGGACCGAGGACCGCGCCUUCGGGCUAGGAUGCUGGCGUAAUGGGUGUAAGCGACCCGUCUUGAAACACGGACCAAGGAGUCUAACAUCUAUGCGAGUGUUUGGGUGGCAAACCCAUACGCGGAAUGAAAGUGAACGUAGGUGAGAACCCCUUUGGGGCGCAUCAUCGACCGAUCCUGAUGUCUUCGGAUGGAUUUGAGUAAGAGCAUAGCUGUUGGGACCCGAAAGAUGGUGAACUAUGCCUGAAUAGGGUGAAGCCAGAGGAAACUCUGGUGGAGGCUCGCAGCGGUUCUGACGUGCAAAUCGAUCGUCAAAUUUGGGCAUAGGGGCGAAAGACUAAUCGAACCAUCUAGUAGCUGGUUCCUGCCGAAGUUUC